GACAGAGGGUGCAAACGUUGUUCGGAAUUACUGGGCGUAAAGCGCGUGUAGGCUGCUCGGAAAGUCAGAUGUGAAAACCCUGGGCUCAACCUAGGAAAUGCAUUCGAAACUUCCGAGCUGGAGUGCUGGAGAGGAAGGCGGAAUUCUCGGUGUAGAGGUGAAAUUCGUAGAUAUCGAGAGGAACACCGGUGGCGAAGGCGGCCUUCUGGACAGUGACUGACGCUGAGACGCGAAAGCGUGGGGAACAAACAGG
rnacentral:rRNA from 1 species